UACGGAGGGUGCAAGCGUUAUCCGGAUUCACUGGGUUUAAAGGGUGCGUAGGCGGAUAGGGAAGUCCGUGGUGAAUCCUGCAGCUUAACUGCAGAACGUGCCGCUGGAUACUCUCUAUCUUGAAUAUCGUGGAGGGUUAGCGGAAUAUGUCAUGGUAGCGGAUGAAAUGCUUAGAUGAUGACAUAGAACACCCAUUGCGAAGGCAGCUAACUACGCGAUCAUUGACGCUGGAUGCACGAAAGCCGUGGGGAUCAAACAGG
rnacentral:rRNA from 1 species